rnacentral:rRNA from 1 species
UCGAACGAUGAAGCCUUUCGGGGUGGAUUAGUGGCGAACGGGUGAGUAACACGUGGGCAAUCUGCCCUUCACUCUGGGACAAGCCCUGGAAACGGGGUCUAAUACCGGAUAACACUCUGUCCUGCAUGGGACGGGGUUAAAAGCUCCGGCGGUGAAGGAUGAGCCCGCGGCCUAUCAGCUUGUUGGUGGGGUAAUGGCCUACCAAGGCGACGACGGGUAGCCGGCCUGAGAGGGCGACCGGCCACACUGGGACUGAGACACGGCCCAGACUCCUACGGGAGGCAGCAGUGGGGAAUAUUGCACAAUGGGCGAAAGCCUGAUGCAGCGACGCCGCGUGAGGGAUGACGGCCUUCGGGUUGUAAACCUCUUUCAGCAGGGAAGAAGCGAAAGUGACGGUACCUGCAGAAGAAGCGCCGGCUAACUACGUGCCAGCAGCCGCGGUAAUACGUAGGGCGCAAGCGUUGUCCGGAAUUAUUGGGCGUAAAGAGCUCGUAGGCGGCUUGUCACGUCGGAUGUGAAAGCCCGGGGCUUAACCCCGGGUCUGCAUUCGAUACGGGCUAGCUAGAGUGUGGUAGGGGAGAUCGGAAUUCCUGGUGUAGCGGUGAAAUGCGCAGAUAUCA